rnacentral:misc_RNA from 1 species
UGAAUGGGGUGACAAGAGUCAGCUAGCGACGAUUGGUUUAGCUGCAGAUGAAGACCCACUAGGUGUCGUUCUUGGAGGAAUUUUGGGACAGGCAUUGUGUACAACUGCUGCAGUCCUUGGCGGAAGGAGCUUGGCAUCACAAAUAUCUGAGAAAAUAGUUGCUCUCUCAGGUGGAGUUCUGUUCAUUGUUUUUGGAAUCCAAUCCUUCCUCUCAACUGUGGAGCCGUAGUUUUUUUCGAGCUUGUUAUGAUGGAAGGCGAUUGGCUGAAUUAUUGCAGCGCAACCUUCCUUGAAUAGACGAAUUUGAAAACCAUUUAAAGAGCCUACAUGUUUGAUCAGAUAACUGGAUUAGUGGUAGUGUUUAGUAGCUUUGAUAAACCUGGCGCGCAAUAGUUCUUAUUUUACAAAUAGUGAAGAUGUAGGUUAUCCAAUUCGAAUGCGUCCCAGAAAAUUUGGGCAGGAUAUUUUCCUUG